UGUUUAUAAUAUAUAAAUUCAAAGAAUUUGGCGGUAUAAUAAUUUUUUAGGGGAGUUUGUUUUUUAAUUCGAUAAUCCACGAUUUACCUUACUUUGUUUUUAAAGUUUACACAUUUCCGUUAUAUAGGUUUAUCUUAAGAUGGUUAAAUAAACUAAUUAUUAUUUAAAUAAUAAUUAAAUCAGGUAAAUAAGUAGUUUUAAUAAAGGAUAAAAUGAGCUACAAUUGUUAAAAACAUAAAUUGAAAAAUUUUUUGAAAAAAAAAUUUGAAAUUGAACUUAAAAGUAAUAUUUACAUUAAUAAGUAAUUUGAAUAAAAUAAAUUAUAUGUACACA
rnacentral:rRNA from 1 species